CAAGUCUCUGGGAUUACAGGAGACACUUCCAAUAAGAAGACUGAGCCACCAGGCAGAUGUUAUAAGCAAUGUGAGCUUGUGCUGGAAGAAGAGAGAAUCCACCAGUGUCCUGGGCCCUCCAAGGCCUCUCUGAGGGAAAGACAUUUGGACAGAGAUGCCAAGGACAAGGAAGAGGCAGUCACCCACCUCUGGGCAAGGUGCAAAAGCCCAAGAUUCACGUUCAUGUGUUGCAAGCACAAAAAGAAGAUCCUGUGGCUGGAGUAGAGUGAGGAACAGUGAGAAUGGUAGGAGCAGAGGGCAGAGAAAGUGGCAAAAACAAGGUCGCAUGAGGCCUUGUAAGCCAUGGUCAAGAGGUGAUAUUUUAUUUUAAAUGAAUCCAAAGUAAUUGCAAGUUUUUGAGCAAG
rnacentral:lncRNA from 10 species